CCUAUCUUGACAACCUAAAUUAUGUUUAACAAUUGCAGUUUUCCACCACUAGUGGCCUCCCUAACCACUAGGACUGAACUUUCCUUCACUCUACCUCACCUGCCUGAGCUGAUUACUUCUUCUACAAAAGGCCACUCUCAGCUCAAAACUGGGUAUUUACAUUAAAGUUGAUAGUCUACCUAAAAGACUUCUGUUCCUGGCUCCUAUAACCUUACCUACUUUGUUACCAACCUGCAUCAUACCAACCUGAACUACGCUACUAUCCGUUAUUGCAUGGUGUUAUUUACCGGAAUUAUCAGAGCUCCUUCCUAACAGGGGGCUGAUUCCCUAAACGUCUAUUUCACUUGCAAUUCUGAAACCUUACUGUUCUGUUCCCUCUAAAUAUCCUGUAUACUUUCAUCUAUAGGAUUUCUUACUAUCCACUUAUAUCCUGUUAAUAACCUGUCUGGGGCAUAUUGCCUAAACCUCUAUUUCUAUUAUUUGACCUUCUACCUACUGCCUAUAAUUUCAUUAAUAGGUUUUGUCUUCUACCUGUUGCCUAUAAUAUCUUUUAUAGGUUCACCUUCUACCUAUUGCCUAUAAUUUUGUUUAUAUAUUCUCCUAUUUUCCUUCUGCCUAUAAUUUCACUUAUAGGAUUUCCAUCUACUUGUCAGGAUCACAAGAACUAUAUCACACCUAGGACUAAAAGGUAACGUCUUACCAGGCCUUAGAAUGGCCGGACUUAACGUACCAGAGAAUAGUCAGAAUACUUGCAGAGGUCAGAAAUACAGAAAGAGGCACAACGCUGAGGGAAAGCCAAAAGUCAGGGAUACCAGAAUACAGGGAAGUCAAAUGAAGCAAAAGUCAAUAACCAGAAAUAAACACUCAGGAAUACACUCUCAGGCAACCACUAGGGAAACCACAACAGGGCAAUGAGCAGAAGGAAUAGAUAACCUUAAAUACCCCUCUUGUGGAUCCGAUUGGCCGAAACCAGCCUUUGACCCAGGAACGUGCGUGUGUGUCCUUUACGUGACGUCAAAUGCACGUUGACGUCUUCCAUGCCGUGGGCGAACGUGGUGUUAUAAAUUAGUGUUGAUCCGGAGCGGCUGGCGUCCAUUCAACAUGCCGCAGGGGUCAGACACAUUGACGCAUGGCUGCUGAACUGCACUACCGCCCUUAUUGGCAAGGCAACCGCUAUCAAUGUCACAAGGUGAGGAUAAACAUGUGACACUACUUUACUAUGUCUAAACUUACCAAUAAAGAACCAAAUGUUAACCCUGGCCAAAUUCUCUUAUCUGACCUGCUUAAGACCAUGACACUGGCUUACGUUCUGACGAGAUCCAGGUAAGAGAUGAUUCCCCCAACAACGACGGUAGAAAUACCCAAGUUGUCCUGGGAUGCCCCAGAGGAGUUUGGGAGGGAAGUGUCAGGAUUACAAGUUGAUCCAGCAUGCAGUACUGUGUUACACCCCUAAUGAUAACAUAUAACCAGAACUUAGAAUGGCCGGACUUAACGUCUCCAAG